CCUACGUGUGGCAGCAGUGGGGAAUAUUGGACAAUGGGCGAAACCCUGAUCCAGCGACGCCGCGUGAGUGAAGAAGGCUUUCGGUACGUAAAGCUCUAUCAGCAGGGAAGAAAAUUACGGUACCUGACUAAGAAUCCCCGGCUAACUACGUGCCAGCAGCCGCGGUCAUACGUAGGGGGCAAGCGUUAUCCGGAUUUACUGGGUGUAAAGGGAGCGUAGACGGCAGCGCAAGUCUGGAGUGAAAUGCCGGGGCUCAACCCCGGAACUGCUCUGGACACUCUGAAGCUGGAGUGCAGGAGAGGUAAGCGGAAUUCCUGGUGUAGCGGUGAAAUGCGUAGAUAUCAGGAGGAACACCGGCGGCGAAGGCGGCUUACUGGACUGUAACUGACGUUGAGGCGCGAAGGCGUGGGGAGCAAACAGGAUUAGAUACCCUUGUAGUC
rnacentral:rRNA from 1 species